rnacentral:lncRNA from 1 species
GGCUCCCUCUCCCUUCCUCCCUCUGGUAUUGUGAGAUCUCAGAGCACCUUCCUUCCGAAUCGGGCAGGGGGCUUGACCAGGACCCAGGGUCAGCAGGCGGCCCGGAGGUGGGGGAGACGGGAGGGGGCCUGCUGUGGGGAUCCCGACCCCCACGGGGCCCGCGGCGGGAGGGGGAGGGCGACCCCCAGAGCGGGCGCCAGGCCCGCGGCGGAUCGAGGGGCGGCAGAGAGACUGGCCCCGCCCCGCGGACCCCGCGCGGGUCCCCAGACGGGGGGUGGCGCUGCGGGCGCCGCGCGCACUGCGGUCCCCGCGCCUCCGCCGCAGAACGCGCCACGCCCGCACGCACCUGCCGCCGCCGCCGCCGCGCCGAGCCCCGCGCCCGCGCCCCACGCCCCCGGGAGCCGCCGCGGCCCGGCCAUCGCCCGAGGUAGCCGCCGGAGCCUCCGGAGCCGCCGAGCCAAGGCUCGGGCGCCGCAUCCAGGCCUGCCUUUGAGACAACCUCUGCGGAGGCGGCGGCGCGCGGCCCGGCCCGGGGACGCCAGGCUGGGGCAGCUCCGGCCCAGCCCCGGCCUCUCCUGUGCUUCCGCCGCCAACCCCGAGCUUGCCGCCCGGGUCCUUUGGCGGCCAGCGCUCAGGCUAGCUGCCUUCCCUGGGCGCCCUGUCCUGGAGCCAUGGGGCCCACCUAGCCCCUGCCUGCCCGGAUGUCCGGGCCCCGGGACGGCUGAUCUCGGCUGCAGGGGGACCUCCUGCAACGCCCCCUGGCCAGCCUCAGAGGCCAGAGACCCUGGGUGAGCCCCUGGGCCCGACCUCUGGCCCAGGGCAGCCGCCCACACCCCCGUGCCCCUCUCCUCCUCCCCCGCCCCUUCCUCCUCCCCCGCGCACCGGACCUGAGAAGCCACUGUGGCCUCUGGGGGGGGCCCUUCCCCCCAAGCUUUUGCCCGCCUCCCCCAGGAGUCCACAGGGCAACCAGGAUGCUGUCCCCUCACUGCCCCCCCGGCCCCACCCAACGCCCCCCCCUACCCGAGCACCCA